GAUGGUCUGAUGAUGUUGUCGAGAUGAGAAUCAUGAUACUACUUUGCGAUCUGAUUGGUGAAAGGGUUGAAAAUGUUCCUGUAAGAUUCGUUAAGACGCCUUGCCGUAACCAUAUGCCGUGAGCUCAC